CCCUCAGUUUGCCUUAUCCACAGCCAUACACCCAACAAGGCACUAAGUACUUCGAGUCUGGUCUGAGUUUUGCAACUCCUUGAGCAAACAUCAUGCCAUUUUUCUUCCUCGAGAAUGGCAUCCCACCACCGGUCAAUCUCAUAACCUAUCUAAGAUUGUCUCCUUCAUGAAGUUCUUCUAUAAAGACUGCACCUUUUUUCAUGACUCUGGCAGAAACAGGGUUCUCCAGAAAGCACUUAUCUUUAUGGAUCAACUCGGUAUCAAUGACGACAAGCAGGCUUUCUUACAUGGAAAAUCCAUAUCUGAAGUGUCUCAUCUUGUGCCUGAAGUGGUGGAGACUAUUAAAAAUUCAGUUGAAAAGCUCAUCAAUGAAGCUGGAGAAAAUAAAAAACUUAGUAUCUGGAAUUCAUUCGUGGGCUGCUUUCUGGUUUUCGGACUCUGUUUCCCGAGGGUGACCCAAUUCGCAAACCAGAAUAUGCCACAGAGUUAUUGCAUGUUUUGAUCGGGCUUCGUAUUUGCAUUGGGAUGGAUUUCGACUGACUCCUGAGGCGUUGGAUAACCUGGUGGAUACGCUCUUCAAUAAAAAGGGAUUUGUAUGCCCAAAUUCAAGUUUAGAGAAGAAACACAGCAGCAGUAACAAGGCAUCAUUCCAAGAUCAUUCACGAAUUAGAGAUAUGUCUUCUGUUGUUAGGAAUUUACUCCUCGUCUAUGCCAGUUCUCUGUAUUCAAUACAAUAGCAUUAGAUUUUGUUCUAAUCUGUUUAAUGCAAAGACUAGGUUCUCAUUGCUUCAUAUGUACAGGGGAAUGCCCCUCUUAGCUUCUGAAACAACUAGCAAUUCGUUUCGCUCAUACUAAAUAAAAGUAUCCCGAUUUAAUUCAAAUAUUUUUCCAAGGCUUAUUUAUAUGUUUGUUAUCUAGCUUAUUUUCCUGUUGCCUUUAAACCUUUAUUUCUAAGCCUGAGAUUAAUAAAAAAAAAGGUGUAACUAUUUGUAAGAAGCUUAGCAACAGAAAUAAGGAUCUUACCAUCAAUUAACUUCAUAUUAUAUUUUUUCUAUUUAUUUCUAUUAUAUAGAAAAGGAAAGAUGUCGAUCAAGGGCAAAAUUGUCAUUUUGCUCAAAGGAAAAAGUGCCUUCCAUCAUUUUUGACACACACGACAGAGUCUAGAAUCUGCUCUCGUCUUCCGUCUCUUCUAUUCCAACCGAUGGAGGAGUUUCAGUUCGCCUUCUUCAAACUUUCAACAAUACUCGUAGCUCUUUUCGUCUUCUUAUCUAUCUAUUAGAUUUCAGGCAUUAUUCGCUCAAUCCUUGCUCGCAUCUUCUUUGUUUUCUCUUUGUCUUCUUUUCUUUCUUUGCUACUUUUAGAUCUAUUUAACUGUUUUCAAUUUCAUGGAUAAAUUUCCUUGGAUUUUGUAUUUUCCAACCAGAUGAUGCGGAAUUACCAUUUUAAGGGCUAUUCUCCGUCCAAUUUCAUUGAUGUUGCCUUCUUCUUGCUGAUUCACCUCUAUCUCUUCUUCUUCAUAAGGCUCUUCUUAACUGCCUCUGCGCACACCCCUCACUCUCCAUAGCCGAGGAAAAGAACAGUAAGAACUCAUGAUAACCUAAUUUUGAUAAAGCACUAAAAUUGGUGUAUGGGUUGAGAUUGAAAUAAAGUGAAUGAAUUAAGUCAAAUGGCUAUUGGGAAAAAUUUAUGCAUAUAAAUUUCUAUUGACAGAUUUUAUUCAUUAUUUCAUGUCUUAGGAAUGCUUAAUUAGGCUUAAGAUGAUUUGGGAACUUUUCUUAAAAGUUGUGUUCGAGCAACAUCUGAUUGUUUAAACUUAAAUUCAUUUAUCUGGCUACAAAUUUAUGGAAUAAGGAAGGUAUGUUAAAGGGCAUGUAAUGGGAUUGCUUUAUAUGAUGACUCAUUGUUGUUGAUGGGAUUUGAAAGUAGAGGAAUAUUUAAAAGUAGAGGAGUAGGAAGUAGAGCACCGAGGAUUGAUAAAGAUUGUAUGAAGUUGCAAGACACUAAUGGUCCAGAAAAAGGACGAGAAAAUAGCACAGAUAUCCAAAACUUUAAGAAGCAGACAAGAGGAAUAGAGAUGUAAGGACAUGUAUAAGAGGAUACCUAAGCCAAGGAAGUAGCUUAAUUUUUUUUAUUUUUUUAUUCCUUGUUUAUUGGCAUCCACUGAUACAAUGUGUGUUCAACUAUAAAUUAUAGUUGUUUGUCUUAUUGGAAAUUCUCAUUCACCCAUCUUUAAGCCUAAUUUGUCUUAUUUUCUACUGAUAUGUCCAUGUCUUAUUAUCAACAUAUGUUAUCUUCACCUAUACUUUCUUAUUAUUCUCUACUUUUAUGCAAUUUUAUUAGAAUAUUCUUUAAGUUUGUAUUUUAUUAAGAUAUUUUGUCCAAAAGUAUAAGUGACGGAUGGAUCUUUCCAUCUUGCAUACUUGACUGAUUGAUUCACUUGGUUACUUCUUGACAAUUGGUUUUUUCUCCUGUUAGUUCAGUACCGAAUGCAUAUGGAUUAUCAGGAACCUAGAAAAAGGAUUAUUUUCAAGGUCAUGAAAGAGUACUCAAAGGUCCUCCUCCAUCACUUCAAGUGGCAAAGGCUGUGAACUAUUUAACUUGAAAUUGAUUAUUCAUCAAUGGGAGAUUUAAAAGAACCCCAUGACUGAGGUUGUCUGAAGAACACAUAGUAGCAGAUGUAUGAAUGCAAUACACAAAAUAUUUGCCAUACUUUAUGUGGCUCUUAGUUGGACUAUGUUCUCUUUUGUUUAUAGUACAAACACGGAUAGCAACUGAUAUAUUUAGUUGAUCACGUAGCAUAAGAUAGUGGGUAGAAAACGAUGAAGAAAUAAGGCGUACUUGAGCUUGAGUUUGAUUUUGUAAGUAUAUUUAAAGGAAGUUGAAGAAAAGGAAAUAUUUGCUCAAUUUUGAUAAAUCUAGGGAAGCAAUAUAUAUUGUUCUAUAUUUGUCACUA